rnacentral:lncRNA from 10 species
AGAAAACUCUUUUAGUACUUACAUUAGACAACUGGUAUACAUUGGAACUGUCCUCUGCAAACUUGGGCAUAUGUUCACUGUACUUGUAAUUAAUUUAACCUGUUUCCUUUCCUUCCCUUCCUGUAACCGAUCCAUCCAAAGCAUUGCUGGAUUUAUCUUCUUAAGCAUAGUUUUAAUCAUGAGGUCUCCCACUUCAUAAUUCUUUAAUGGCUCUAAAUUGCCUACCAAAUACAAUCUAAAUAUUUAGGCCUAAUCUUCAAACUCUCCUCUGGUGGCCCCAGCUUCCCUCUCCUACUUUCUUAUUUCUUUAGUCAAGUAACUCACAAUGUAAUGCUUAACUUUUUUGAUCCUGAGUUACCUCAUUAGUAAGGUAGGGAUUAAAAUGUCUCUUCCUCAGUUGUGAAGCUGUAAUGGGGUAUUAUAUGUAAAGAAAGUAGGCUGGUAUAUAAGUACUUAGCAGCAAGUACUUAGUACAUAGGCACUGAGGUAUUAGUAGCUAUUAUCACAUACACUGUAGGGUUGUUUGUUUUGCUUUGUUUUGUUUUCUGAGACAGACUCAUUCCGUCACCCAUGCUGGAGUGCAGUGGCACAAUCACAGCUCAGUGCAACCCCCAACUCCCGGAUUCAAGCAAUUCUUGUGCCUCAGCCUCCCAAGUAGCUGGGAUUACAGGCACUUGCCACCACAGCCAGCUAAUAUUUGUAUUUUUAGUAGAGAUAUGGUUUUCGCUGUGUUGGUCAGGCUGGUCUCAAACUCCUGGCCUCAAGUCAUCCGCCCUCCUCGGCCUCCCAAAGUGCUGAGAUUACAGGCAUGAACCACCACGCCAAGCCCAUACACUGUAGUUUUCUAUGUCUAUGUGUUCCUACUUUAUGAAAUAUUCUCUCUCACAUCCCUUUUGACAGUGUUCACAUUCCUAAAUCCUUCCUAUCCUUGAAUGUUUUGAAGAUGUAUUCCCAUGAAGACUUUGAUUCCCCAAAACGGGAUUCAAAAUUCACAUGGCAAUUAAGAAUCUGUUUCUACCUUGUUUAUGUGUGUAUCUUGGCUCUUGUAAUAAGAAUGUUGUUUCCUCAAGGGCAGGCAUUCUGUCAUUCUUUGAUGGUGCCCUCUCCCUUAGUGCUGUACAUUUAAGCAAAGAAUAUUCGUUAACUUAAUUUUUUAAUUAAUAUUUUUAAUAUUUGUUAAAAUUUUUUCAUCAAAGGGACCAUUCCUUUGGAAAUAUUAAGACUCUGAGACUUACAGUACUGCCUUUGCCAAAUAUAGUACAUCCAUACAGUAAAAUACUACACAGCCGUUUACAAGAAUGAGAAAAGAUUUUUCCAUGUACUGACAUGGAAAGAUGACCAUGAUGUUCUGUUGAGCGUUUCUUUUUUUUUUUUUUUUUUUUGGAGACGAAGUCUCGCUCUGUCGCCCAGGGUGGAGUGCAGUGGCACGAUCUCGGCUCACUGCAACCUCCGCCUCCGGGUUCAAGCAAUUCUCCUGCCUCAGCCUCCUGAGUAACUGGGACUACAGGUGCACGUCACCACACUCAGCUAAUUUUUUUGUAUUUUGGUAGAGAGGGUUUCACCGUGUUGCCCAGGCUGUUCUCAAACUCCUGAACUCAGGCAAUCCGCCCGCCUCAGCCUCCCAAAGUGCUAGGAUUACAGGUGUGAGCCACUGUGUCUGGCCUUUUUUUUUUUUUUAAGACAAGUAUGGCUGUGUGUGGUAGCUCACACCCAUAAUCCCAGCACUUCGGGAGGCCACGGCAAGAGGAUCACUUGAGGCCAGAAGUUUGAGACCAGCCUGGGUAACGUAGUGAGACCUUGUCUCUACAAAAAAAAAAAAAAAAAAAAAAAAAAGCCAGAUGUGGUGUUUCAUGCCUGUGGUCCCAGCUACUUGGGAGGCUGAGGCAGGAGAGUCACUUGAGUCCAGGAAUUUAAGGUUACAGUGUGUUGAUUGCAUCUCUGCACUCCAGCCUUGGCAACAGAGUAAUAUCCCAGCACUUUGGAGGCUGAAGCAGGAGGUUCACUAGAGCUUAGGAGGUCAAGACCUGCCUGGGCAACAUAGUGAGUUCAUCCCUACAAAAAAUAAACAAAAUAAGCCAGCUUAUUUUGGUCCCAGCUACUCAGGAAGCUGAGGUUGGAGGAUCGUUUAGCCUGGGAGGUUCAAGCUACACUGAGCCAAGAAUGUGCCACUGCAUUCAAGCCAGGAAAAUUUAAAGACCAAACCCAGGAUGGUAAAAUGGCAAGAGGAUGGGUUUUGGAGUAACACAACCCUAGUCACAAAUCCUGACUCUUCCCCCUUAAUAGCUGGAUGACCGUAACCUUCUGACCAUCCUCAUCUGUAAAAUGAGGAGAAAAAGACUCGCCCUGGGGAUGCUGAGUUUUGAAGAAGAAAAUGUAUUUGAAGCACUUAGCACAAAGCCUGAUUGUUCAUAACUUUCUGCACCCUUUUCUUUAUCUCCUUCCCUUCUCUUCUUUCACUUCUUUUGAUGUUGUACAAUAUAAUCAUGUUUCCAGAAGAAAAGAUUAAGCCAUGAAUUUCUCUAUCCUCUAUUUACACAAAUUACAUGUUUCUUUCUAAUAUGAAUCAUUAUACAAUUCUACCACAUUAAAAUAACAAUAAAUUAUGAUUAAAAUAUACUACUAAUAAUGAUAUUUUUCAUGUAUAUGACCUC